GACAGAGGUCCCGAGCGUUAGGCGGAAUCACUGGGCUUAAAGCGUGUGUAGGCGGAUGCCUAAGUACCUUGUGAAAUCCCACGGCUCACCCGUGGAACUGCUCGGUAUACUGGGUGUCUUGAGCCACUUAGGGGCUACCGGAACAAAUGGUGGAGCGGUGAAAUGCGUAGAUAUCAUUUGGAACGCCAAUGGUGAAAACAGGUAGCUGGGAGUGUGCUGACGCUGAGGCGCGAAAGCUAGGGGAGCAAACGGG
rnacentral:rRNA from 1 species